rnacentral:rRNA from 1 species
GAAGCGUGCUGUUGGAGUGCACGUCCAAGCAGUAAGACUGAGUGUUAGGCAAAUCCGGCACUCAUUAAGGUCAAGCUGUGAUGGGGAGAGGAAACAUGUUUUCCUCGAGUCGUUGAUUUCACACUGCCGAGAAAAGCCUCUAGCUAGAAGAUUGGUGCCCGUACCGCAAACCGACACAGGUAGUCAAGAUGAGAAUUCUAAGGUGAGCGAGCGAACUCUCGUUAAGGAACUCGGCAAAAUGACCCCGUAACUUCGGGAGAAGGGGUGCUCUUUGAGGUUCACGCUUCGAAGAGCCGCAGUGAAUAGGCCCAAGCGACUGUUUAUCAAAAACACAGGUCUCUGCUAAACCGUAAGGUGACGUAUAGGGGCUGACGCCUGCCCGGUGCUGGAAGGUUAAGAGGAGUGGUUAGCAUUAGCGAAGCUACGAAUCGAAGCCCCAGUAAACGGCGGCCGUAACUAUAACGGUCCUAAGGUAGCGAAAUUCCUUGUCGGGUAAGUUCCGACCCGCACGAAAGGCGUAACGAUUUGGGCACUGUCUCAACGAGAGACUCGGUGAAAUCAUAGUACCGGUGAAGAUGCCGGUUACCCGCGACAGGACGGAAAGACCCCGUGGAGCUUUACUGUAGCCUGAUAUUGAAAUUCGGUACAGUUUGUACAGGAUAGGUAGGAGCCUUAGAAACGUGAGCGCUAGCUUACGUGGAGGCAUUGGUGGGAUACUACCCUAAUUGUAUUGGAUUUCUAACCCGCAACUCUUAUCGAGUUGGGAGACAGUGUCAGGCGGGCAGUUUGACUGGGGCGGUCGCCUCCUAAAGUGUAACGGAGGCGCUCAAAGGUUCCCUCAGAAUGGUUGGAAAUCAUUCAUAGAGUGUAAAGGCAUAAGGGAGCUUGACUGCGAGACCUACAAGUCGAGCAGGGUCGAAAGACGGACUUAGUGAUCCGGUGGUUCCGCAUGGAAGGGCCAUCGCUCAACGGAUAAAAGCUACCCCGGGGAUAACAGGCUUAUCUCCCCCAAGAGUUCACAUCGACGGGGAGGUUUGGCACCUCGAUGUCGGCUCAUCGCAUCCUGGGGCUGUAGUCGGUCCCAAGGGUUGGGCUGUUCGCCCAUUAAAGCGGUACGCGAGCUGGGUUCAGAACGUCGUGAGACAGUUCGGUCCCUAUCCGUCGUGGGCGUAGGAAAUUUGAGAGGCGCUGUCCUUAGUACGAGAGGACCGGGAUGGACAUACCUCUGGUGUACCAGUUGUCGUGCCAACGGCAUAGCUGGGUAGCUAUGUAUGGACGGGAUAAGUGCUGAAAGCAUCUAAGCAUGAAGCCCCCCUCAAGAUGAGAUUUCCCAACUUCGGUUAUAAGAUCCCUCAAAGAUGAUGAGGUUAAUAGGUUCGAGGUGGAAGCGUAGCGAUACGUGGAGCUGACGAAUACUAAUCGAUCGAAGACUUAAUCAA